AUACGUAGGGGGCGAGCGUUGUCCGGAAUGAUUGGGCGUAAAGGGCGCGUAGGCGGCCCGGUAAGUCUGGAGUGAAAGUCCUGUUUUUAAGAUGGGAAUUGCUUUGGAUACUGUCGGGCUUGAGUGCAGGAGAGGUAAGUGGAAUUCCCAGUGUAGCGGUGAAAUGCGUAGAGAUUGGGAGGAACACCAGUGGCGAAGGCGACUUACUGGACUGUAACUGACGCUGAGGCGCGAAAGUGUGGGGAGCAAACAGGAUUAGAUACCCUGGUGGUCCACACUGUAAACGAUGAAUGCUAGGUGUAGGGGGUAUCGACCCCUUCUGUGCCGCAGUCAACACAAUAAGCAUUCCGCCUGGGGAGUACGGCCGCAAGGUUGAAACUCAAAGGAAUUGACGGGG
rnacentral:rRNA from 1 species